ensembl:snoRNA small nucleolar RNA SNORA61
ACCCUCCAGUUUCCUUUCCCAUCGGAUCUGAACACUGUUCUUGGUGAUCAUCAGGGAGGGAAAGGAAUGCUGAAGCUGGCCUCACAGCCUUACAUGCGGGCUAGUGUUUUGUUUUG